GUAGGUGGCAAGCGUUGUCCGGGAAUUAUUGGGGCGUAAAGCGCGCGCAGGCGGUUCUUUAAGUCUGAUGUGAAAGCCCACGGGCUCAACCGUGGGAGGGUCAUUGGAAACUGGAGAACUUGAGUACAGAAGAGGAAAGCGGAAUUCCACGUGUAGCGGUGAAAUGCGUAGAGAUGUGGAGGAACACCAGUGGCGAAGGCGGCUUUCUGGUCUGUAACUGACGCUGAGGCGCGAAAGCGUGGGGAGCAAACAGGAUUAGAUACCCUGGUAGUCCACGCCGUAGACGAUGAGUGCUAAGUGUUAGGGGGUUUCCGCCCCUUAGUGCUGCAGCUAACGCAUUAAGCACUCCGCCUGGGGAGUACGGCCGCAAAGGCUGA
rnacentral:rRNA from 1 species